rnacentral:rRNA from 1 species
CCUACGGGAGGCAGCAGUGGGGAAUAUUGGGCAAUGGGCGCAAGCCUGACCCAGCAACGCCGCGUGAAGGAAGAAGGCUUUCGGGUUGUAAACUUCUUUUGACAGGGAAGAGCAGAAGACGGUACCUGUCGAAUAAGCCACGGCUAACUACAUGCCAGCAGCCGCGGUAAUACGUAGGUGGCAAGCGUUGUCCGGAUUUACUGGGUGGAAAGGGCGUGUAGCCGGGCUGACAAGUCAGAUGUGAAAUCCGGGGGCUCAACCCCCGAACUGCAUUUGAAACUGUUGGUCUUGAGUAUCGGAGAGGCAGGCGGAAUUCCUAGUGUAGCGGUGAAAUGCGUAGAUAUUAGGAGGAACACCAGUGGCGAAGGCGGCCUGCUGGACGACAACUGACGGUGAGGCGCGAAAGCGUGGGGAGCAAACAGGAUUAGAUACCCUUGUAGUC